GACGAACGCUGGCGGCGUGCUUAACACAUGCAAGUCGAACGGAAAGGCCCUGCUUUUGUGGGGUGCUCGAGUGGCGAACGGGUGAGUAACACGUGAGUAACCUGCCCUUGACUUUGGGAUAACUUCAGGAAACUGGGGCUAAUACCGGAUAGGAGCUCCUGCUGCAUGGUGGGGGUUGGAAAGUUUCGGCGGUUGGGGAUGGACUCGCGGCUUAUCAGCUUGUUGGUGGGGUAGUGGCUUACCAAGGCUUUGACGGGUAGCCGGCCUGAGAGGGUGACCGGCCACAAUGGGACUGAGAUACGGCGCAGACUCCUACGGGAGGCAGCAGUGGGGAAUAUUGUACAAUGGGCGGAAGCCUGAUGCAGCAACGCCGCGUGCGGGAUGACGGCCUUCGGGUUGUAAACCGCUUUCGCCUGUGACGAAGCGUGAGUGACGGUAAUGGGUAAAGAAGCACCGGCUAACUACGUG
rnacentral:rRNA from 1 species